rnacentral:rRNA from 1 species
CUGGCGGCGUGGAUAAGGCAUGCAAGUCAAGGGGGCCCGCAAGGGCAACCGGCAGACGAGGUAGUAAUAAUUAAGUACGCACCCGGAGUCGGGCAUAGCUAUCCGAAAGGAUAGGUAAUUCCCGAUAGUCUCGCAAGAGUAAAGUUUUUCGCUCCGGGAGCGGCUUGAUCGGUAUCAGCUAGUUGGUAAGGUAACGGCUUACCAAGGCUAUGACGCCUAGGGGACCUGAGAGGGUGACCCCCACCGAUGGGACUGAGAUACGGCCCAUACACCUACGGGUGGCUGCAGUCGAGAAUCUUCCGCAAUGGACGAAAGUCUGACGGAGCGACGCCGCGUGGAGGAUGAAGUGCUUCGGCAUGUAAACUCCUUUUGCCAGGGAAAAAGUUUAUUGAUUGUACCUGGAGAAUAAGAGGUUGCUAAACUCGUGCCAGCAGCAGCGGUAAUACGAGUGCCUCGAGCGUUAUCCGGAAUCAUUGGGCGUAAAGGGUGCGUAGGCGGCGAUGUUAGUCUCCCGUAAAAUCUUUCGGCUCAACCGAGAGUCCGCGGGAGAAACGGCAUUGCUAGAGGAUGGUAGGGGUCUCUGGAACUCAUGGUGUAGCGGUGAAAUGCGUUGAUAUCAUGGGGAACACCAAAAGCGAAGGCAAGAGACUGGACCACUCCUGACGCUGAAGCACGAAAGCGUGGGUCGCGAAUGGGAUUAGAUACCCUGGUAGUCC